GAUGAACGCUAGCGACAGGCCUAACACAUGCAAGUCGAGGGGCAGCACGAUGUAGCAAUACAGAGGUGGCGACCGGCGCACGGGUGAGUAACGCGUAUGCAACCUACCCAUUACAGGGGAAUAACUCUCGGAAACGGGAACUAAUACCGCAUAAUACUAUUAAGCUGCAUGGUUUUAUAGUUAAAGAUUUAUUGGUAAUGGAUGGGCAUGCGUGACAUUAGUUAGUUGGUAGGGUAAAGGCCUACCAAGACUUCGAUGUCUAGGGGUUCUGAGAGGAAGGUCCCCCACACUGGUACUAGGACACGGACCAGACUCCUACGGGAGGCAGCAGUGCGGAAUAUUGGUCAAUGGGCGAGAGCCUGAACCAGCCAAGUCGCGUGCAGGAUGACUGCCUUAUGGGUUGUAAACUGCUUUUAUCUGGGAAGAAAAGGCCCAUGCGUGGGACAUUGCCGGUACCAGAUGAAUAAGCACCGGCUAAUUCCGUGCCAGCAGCCGCCGUAAAAC
rnacentral:rRNA from 1 species